UGAGGAAUAUUGGUCAAUGGGCGCGAGCCUGAACCAGCCAAGUAGCGUGAAGGAUGACUGCCCUAUGGGUUGUAAACUUCUUUUAUAGGGGAAUAAAGUUGGCCACGUGUGGCCUUUUGUAUGUACCUUAUGAAUAAGGAUCGGCUAACUCCGUGCCAGCAGCCGCGGUAAUACGGAGGAUCCGAGCGUUAUCCGGAUUUAUUGGGUUUAAAGGGAGCGUAGGCGGGGGCUUAAGUCAGUUGUGAAAGUUUGCGGCUCAACCGUAAAAUUGCAGUUGAUACUGGGUCCCUUGAGUGCGGCAGAGGCAGGCGGAAUUCGUGGUGUAGCGGUGAAAUGCUUAGAUAUCACGCAGAACUCCGAUUGCGAAGGCAGCAUACCGGCGCUCAACUGACGCUCAGGCACGAAAGCGUGGGUAUCGAACAGGAUUAGAUACCC
rnacentral:rRNA from 1 species